rnacentral:rRNA from 1 species
CGAUUAAAGUAAUGUGCAGUCUAACCUGCCCCCUGAGAGUUUUAAAGGGCCGCGGUAUUUGGACCGUGCUAAGGUAGCAUAAUAAAUAGUCUUUUAAUUGAAGUCUAGUAUGAAUGGUUGGACAUGAAGUAAGCUGUUUUAGUGUUGGUUCUUGAAUUUUACUUUUAAGUGAAAAGGCUUAAAUUAAAUGGUGGGACGAUAAGACCCUAUAAAGCUUUACGCUUUACUCUUUAGUUGUAAGAGUUAAGGUUUCUUAUUCUCAUUGAAUAAAGCGUUUCGUUGGGGUGACGGGAAUAUAAAAAAUAGAAUAACUGUUUUUUGAUUUGAAAAAUAUGUUUUUAUAGGUGAGUUGAUCCUUUGAUAAAGAUUAUAAGAUUUAAGUUACUUUAGGGAUAACAGCGUAAUUUAUCUUGAGAGUUCAUAUCGACAGAUAUAGUUGCGACCUCGAUGUUGAAUUAAAAUACCCCCAAGGUGUAGCAGUUUUGGAGGUGGGUCUGUUCGACCUUUAAAAU